rnacentral:misc_RNA from 1 species
AUAGCCCUCUGUACUGUGGCCUCUUAACCUUAAAUCUGGAUUGCAUGCACCAUCUAGAGGAGGCUUAGAUGGAUGUUUACUGUAGUCAAAAACAUAUACUUCAGCACUAACUGUCUUAGUUGCAAUGAUAAAUGGGUUUUGGGGCAUAUAUCGAGCCCGAUUAACCUCUCCAUCGUGAUUUAUUUGCUGGAUUAUUUGUACCUUGCCAUUGGCACAACCAAAUCCGCCAAAUUCAGACCGAUCAUCAUCAUAGUGGCGGGCAUCAUUCUCAGCAUCCUCAAGAGGCAGCUGAACCUGAGCAAGCAUGAGAUAGUUAGGCUCAUUUUCCGAUGUAUGAGUCCCCAAAAUCAUCUUCUGAACGGAAUAAUCCUUUCCCGACGGCUCUUCCCGGUCCGGUAACCAUUCGACGGUGAGCGAAGGCCAUUCAAGCGCGUGAGUAAUAACCAGAUCGUAAAGAAAAGGAGUAUUCUUCUUCCAAAUCUUGUACUCCUCGUUUAUCAGCCUCUCCUCAAUUUCACCCCGCAUCUCAUCUUCGUCUUUCCCCAUUAAACAAUUUCAAGAAUUGCCUUAAGAUUUUUCUUCUUCUGUUUUGAGUGCGUGAGGGUUUGGGUUUUGUGGAGUUUGGGGAUUUUUACGAGGGUUUGUAGAGAAUUGGAGGGAACGGUAUUUUUCAGUGAAUUUUCU